rnacentral:lncRNA from 1 species
GAUACUCAAAAUAUUUUGAAAGUUUUAAAAAGCAAAAGAUUAGAAUUAGUUAACAACCGUGUUUACAAAGGCAAAGGACCUGCUCUGUGCCUGGCUACAUUAUGAAACACUUGAGUUUGUCUGACCCAUCCCUCCUCUGGCUGCACCACCCAGGACACUAUGAAAAUUAAGAUGCCACCGACUGGAGGUCAGCAGUAAACCACUGGUUCAGAUGAACUUAAUCAACAUGGAACCCCAAAGUCCAGGCUGUGGAAGGUCAUCUCUGAACCUCCUUGAAGUCAGCAGU